rnacentral:snRNA from 1 species
GGAUGUACGGGAGUUCUGGCUGUGCAUCUGUCACUCCACAGGUGACCAGGUUGAUAGGCAGAUCGGGCUGGCUAGGUGGGUGUCCCCUUCCUCCCUCACCGCUUCAUGUGUGCCCCUCUCAAAGCUGUAUGUUUGGUUGAGGAGGAAGAGCUUCGCUGUUAGAAGGAUGUUCAUCCUUCAGUUGAGGGUCAAUGAGUAGCUGUAUUACCCUACUAGAAUAUCCAAAUAAGCUGAGACAAAGGAGGAGGAGUGGUAAUAUUUUCUCAUAGUAUAGAAUUUAAAGAAAAAUGCAACAU